rnacentral:rRNA from 1 species
CGGCGGACGGGUGAGUAAUGCUUAGGAAUCUGCCUAUUAGUGGGGGACAACAUUCCGAAAGGGAUGCUAAUACCGCAUACGUCCUACGGGAGAAAGCAGGGGAUCUUCGGACCUUGCGCUAAUAGAUGAGCCUAAGUCGGAUUAGCUAGUUGGUGGGGUAAAGGCCUACCAAGGCGACGAUCUGUAGCGGGUCUGAGAGGAUGAUCCGCCACACUGGGACUGAGACACGGCCCAGACUCCUACGGGAGGCAGCAGUGGGGAAUAUUGGACAAUGGGGGGAACCCUGAUCCAGCCAUGCCGCGUGUGUGAAGAAGGCCUUAUGGUUGUAAAGCACUUUAAGCGAGGAGGAGGCUACUGAGACUAAUACUCUUGGAUAGUGGACGUUACUCGCAGAAUAAGCACCGGCUAACUCUGUGCCAGC